CAGUUCUAAAAGUAGCGAAGAGAGAAGGCGGAAAAGAGGGACGAAGAAAAGUGAGCGAAAAACACGAACGGAACGUAUGCAAGCCUGCGCACAGUUGCGGAGGCAUUGACCCACCUACAAACCCACUCCACUAGUGCCACCCUUACCCACACGUGCACAUCCACGACACAGACGGGGGAUAGACAGCCUGGGUGCAGAGUCGCGGAGCUGACCGCGUGUCCCUGUGCGCCACUUGCUGUGUUUGGUUGCCUUGAACACCCCUCCACUCCCUGCCGCCUAAGAAGCACGGAUCUCUUAUCAUAACCAGCUUUGCUGGCUUAUCACACCUGACUUUUUCCCCCUCCGCCUUCUCCACUUCCUUCCUGUAUUGCUGGAAAAUCUGCGCUGCCUCUUUCUCUUUUUAUCGCUCUUUGUGCGUGGUUCGCCGGUGGCUGUUCGCCGCGUCUGCUACAUAUACAUCGUUUUCUCUCCGCCAGUGAGUGAGUGCGUCGCAGAACAUCUCCCUCUCUCUGUUGUUGUUCCGCUGCUCACGCUUGUGUUUCUGGUCCACCUAUCUCUGCGCACGUGCCUGUUUUUGUGAAUGUGACAACCACGGGCGAGGCGCAUUCAACGCCACCAACACACACGCACAGAGAACGUACAGGCAGGCACAGAUUUUCUCUGCUGCUGUUCUCCUCUCUCUGCCGUCUAUUCACUUUGCCGUGCCGCCGCUGUAAGCCAGGGAAGACACUCCCCGACCCGUCCUCACUGCUCCUUCUCUGCAGCCCCCGACCUAAUCCCACAGGGACACUCCAGAAGAGGGAGGGGGAGGGGGAGGGGAGGGCGAACGCGUUCUGAGAGUCGCGAUCCGCGUUGCAUCGUCGCUCCUGUGUACUUCACCGCAGCGUCUGCACAAGAUUCUCCAGGGGCAAUGCUGAAUCGUCGGCGUAAUGCUGAUCAGCGACAUGGCCCCGGCGCUGCGGUUGCUCCGCCACCAGGCGCUGCCGCCGCCGCAGCGGGCAACGCUGUGACCUCGUCGUCAGGCGCUAUAAGCUCUGCCUCCGUCAGUGUCUCCGCCGCCGGGCCAAGCAGCCAUGCGCACGAGAUUCACUCGUCCACAGCUCUGGAUGAGGUGAUCAACGAGCGAGUGGCUGCGUUCGCACCGUGCAACCUCCCGUCGCUAGUCAACGAUGACACCAUGGACGAGGCGAGUGGCGGGGUCGGCACAUUGGGGGACGUCACGCUGGUGGGGGGGACCACGCGCUACCGGGUGCGCAUCACGCAGGCCGUUCUGCUUAUGUACCUCCACAUCGGCAGCGACCCACCCGGCUUUCCCCGUGUGGAGCCGUGUGCGAAGAUGGAGUGCUGGGUCGACCCGAUGGUGGCGCACGUCGCCAAGAGCGCCCACCGCAGCGGCCGCGGUAGCGGCGCCGGCGGUGGCAGCGAUAGCAUCGCCGAGACCCUCGAGCGGCAGUACCGCAGCGUGCUGCGUGACGACGUUGGCGUUAUGCGCGUUGUGGAGGCGAGCCUGGAGGUGUCCAAGUCGGCGCUCGCGAAGAGUCGUCGCAUGUCCCGCGACGGCCGCAUUUUAAUUCACUACAACGGCCACGGCAUGCCGCGCGCCACGGAUCUGGGGGAAGUGUGGGUGUUCGAUAAAGAGCGCACGCACUACGUCCCUCUCAACAUCACCGAGAUGGCGGAGCUGGCCGACACGCCGGCCAUCUACGUCUUCGACUGCAACUCCGCCGGAUCCUUGCUGCAGAGAUGGUGCAGAGACCGGCUGCACGAGAAGCGGCCGCAUGACUUAUUCGUUUGCGCCUGCAGCCCCGGGGAGACACUGCCACUGAGCCCAGCCCUGCCGGCGGAUCUGCUGACGUCGUGCUUGACGACACCGCUGCGGAUGGCGCUGGAGUGGUACAUUGGCUUCUCCUUCCACGCGAUGCUGCUGCCGCACGUGACGGCGGACAUGAUUCGCAACAUGCCUGGCGAUUGCAACGACCGCAAGUCCCCGCGCGGCGAGCUUAACUGGAUUCUCAACGCCGUGACAGACACGAUUGCAUGGUGCACCUUGCCACCAGCGCAGUUCCACUACCUGUUUCGCCAAGGGACCUCCAUCAAGGGUAUUUUCCGCAACUGCAUCCUAGCCGACCGGCUGCUGCGCGAGUCCGGCUGCACCCCCAUGACAUACCCGGCCCUCUCCGAGGAGGCGCACCUGCAUCCCAUGUGGGAGCUAUGGGAGUACACGGUGGACAAGUGCGUGAGCCAGCUGCCGCGCUUGCUGGCCGCCACGGACGAGGCCCCUGCCGCCUAUGAGCCGUCGAGUUUCUUCGAUGACCAGCUCACGGCCUUUGAGGUGUGGGUGGAGUCGGGUGAUAUGGCGGAGGUGCCGGAGCAGCUGCCGUGCGUGCUCCUCGCGCUUACCCAGGUGCUCUACCGCGUGCGGGCUUUCACGCUGCUCGCAAAGUACCUCGACUCGGGCCGAACAGCCGGCAAGCGUGCGAUCCUGUGCGGCAUACUGCCGUACAUGAGCAAGCUCGUCACGCAGGCGCCGGAGGUUUUUCUCAUUGUGACGGUCUUGUGGAUGCAAGUCAUCCGCGCCGACCCGGCGGAGGGAUGCAACGAGAUGCAGAAAUGCCAGUGCGAAAAAUACUUCACGAGCCUCCUCAAGCUGGAGGAGUCUUCCACGCUGAUCGAGUACGUCGAGUACGGUCAGAUGGUGAACUACGCACGGGUGGAGUCGCCGCAGAUGCCCAGCCCAAGCUUUUCGCCGACGACCGCCACCGCGGCACCGCGGCAGAAGCGCGCCGAGUUCCAGCCCCGCUCGCAGACAUGGGCUAGCACGACGAGCCUUGAAGGCGCCGCGGAGGCGGGCGAGCAGCCGCUGCAGCCCAUGCAACCGAUGCGCUCCCCGCUGGCCGAGGCGCCGCCGCCGCCGCCCGCACAGUCUGACCUGGCCGCGGCAAAGCUGAACAGCGUCGCGAACCAUCUUGUGAAUCCAGGCCACACCGUGUACUUCCUGAUGAAAGACGUGAACCUUUCCCGGUGCAAGAGCAUGGCGUGCUACGUGCUGUGCCAGUUUCUGCAGCGCGGCGAGCGACAGUGCAUCCUGUCGUGGAACAACCGCCUCCUCAACGCCGCCUUUCCGUGCUUGUCCUCGACAAAUGCGGAGCUGCGAUCGUGGGCGUGCCUGGUGCUGUCGCGUCUUUUUCUCGGGCUGCGACAUGCCAAGAAAUUCGCCUCGAAAGAGUGCACCUCGCGUCUCGACCUGUUUACGCGGCUGCUGCAGGACCGCUCGCCGGUCGUGCGCAGCUCCUGCGUCACCCUUCUUGCCAGCAUCGUGGGCGUGCGAGUCGACCUGUUGCCACACGACCAGCAGGUCCGUCGUCUGCACAUGGAGAAGUCUUUGCUGAUCAAGCUGCGCGAGUACAUAUUCGACGCGAGCAUGAAUGUCCGCGAGGAGCUCAUUUUUUUCUGUUGCGAGGUGUUGCACGCCUACCGCGGCGUCCUCUCCCUCGCGCACCGCGAAAAUAUCUCCGAGUACGUGCUGGAGGUGGGCCAGCAGGGCAACCGGUGGGUGCUGGAGGAGGCUCAGGUUGGUGUCAAGUCGCAGCUCAACGCCGCCCGCCCCACCGUCAGCUCACUCUUCGACGACACGGUCGUCUUCGACACGUCUUUCUUGACAGCCGAUGAUCCACUGCCACCGACGCGCGAGGUCGAGGCGAGCCAGCUCUCACCAGCCGCCCUGCAAAUGGUGGAGGGCUUGCUGCACGACGCGGCACUGGUGCUGUGCAUGCUCUACGCAAACUGCGACGGUGUGCUGGUGAACAAGGCGCUGCGCUACCUCUCAAACGGCGCUCCGCCGCAGUCACAGCGCUUCGCCUCGGAGGCUCUGCGCACGAUGUCGCGCGUGGCCUCUGCCGAGUCAGCCGAGUACUGGUCCGAGGCCGACCGCACGCGCGCCACGUGGAACACCGACAUCAUGAGGCAGCUGGUGCUCGACAUGCGGGACCGCAAGCUGGAGCCUCACCGCCGCUACACAUACACGGGGAGCAGCCCGCUACUCUUGCAGGACCCCAAUGGGCACCUCGACACAAACAGCAACGGUGCCGCCUCGGCGGAAGCGUUGUCGGUGUCCCGCAGGAACACCGAGGCGGAGCGGCACCUCGUGCUGCGCAGCGCCGUGCGCCCGGACACGGUUGUGUGCACUACGUUUCGCGCACUCGAGGCGUCUAUCGUGGUUGCUACGAAGAACCAGCGCAUCUCAUACAUCUCGUACGACAACUACAAUUCACAGCAGGAACUGCACAGCUUUCCAGUGCAGCUAUCGGGACCACUGCAUGACGUGCAUAUAAUCAACGACCUUUCAGAGCAGUCAGGGCUGCUGCUGGUCGACAAGCGCGGUGUAUUCACGCUCAUGAAGGGCUGCUGGGACCCCAACUCGGUGCCCACCGAGGCCGCCGUGUUCUCUGCCUGCCCGCCGCCGCCGGCGAACCGCUGGUUGGAUCUGAAGUCAACGUACCGAAGCAGUGCAGCGGUGCUCUUCUACGGCGGCCCCAUCGCGACAGACGGCGGCACGGCGAUCCACAUGGUGUCACUCGCCGAGGAGCAGGUAGUGCAGCGACUGAGCGUGUCGGGCAACCCCGUGCUGACGAGCCUCGAGACGCACACGACGCAGCGCGCGCUGCUGGCGGGUUUCUCAGACGGCGUUGUCCGCUACUACGACGACCGUCAGCGGCAGGGGCAGAUGGGCGCCGUGGGCAUGGUGAGCUGUCGUGCUCCCGGUGCGGCAGUAGCGGCAGCCGUGGAGGCGGUCGUCGGCGCCGGGCCCAUCGCGACCAACACCGGCUUCUCCAUCGCUGCCGCCACCCGUAGCGCAUUCUUUAUCUUCGACCCGCGCAAGCUGAGUGAGCCGCAGCUGUGUGUGACCCACCAAGAUCUCUACUACGGCCACGGUAGGGUCGAGGGAGCGUCGCUCGACAUCGGCGGUGUUGGCGCCGAUGCCGCGGCCGCCUCGCUGUCGUCGUUGCCCAACACAAGCACUGUCCCAGUCCCCUGCCCUCCACUGGCCCCCCGUAUCGUGCGUUGCUCUGUUGGCAUCCACACGGGGCUAGUGGGCCUUUGCUUCCAGAAUAACACGUACGCCGCUUUCAACACGAAGGGGCUGAUCUUGAACGAGCGCCCGCUGGCGGUGAUGGCGGACGGUGUCGUGGAGCCCGCCUUGUCACAGCAGCUGCAGCAGGGACGCCAAUCCUCGGGCCCGCCAAUUUUGCCGGGCAGCUGCGUGGCGCAUCCCUUGCGUCCUCUCAUGACGUUUGGUGGCGAGCUCAUGUUCUUGCAACUGUAGCGUCACCCCCCUUCCCCCACCAUGUCGAUCCACUGUCCGAUACGUGUCUGCGACUGUGUGGUGCCGCACACGCGUGCGACUGUUAUUUCGCUUCUCGUCAUCCCCACUGUACUCCGCGAGACAAACCACUCACAAGGCGGCAGUCGGCUCUGUCGUAGCCGUGGCAGCAGCGGCGGCAGCCCGCGCUCUGUAGGGCUUCAUGAACGAAGGGCCAUGCCCUGAAGCUGAAGCGCGUGCUACAGAGCAAGGAGGCGCUUCAGCGCGUCUACGGCUUGUUGACGACCACCGAGGGCCACAGGUAGCAGCUUGGCCCUACGUGCGCACUGCAACAUGCCAAGCGAGGGAAAGGGCUACCCAUCUCCUUUCUCCACUGCGUGAAGGACGAAUAGCCGCAACGCUCGCACCUCGUGUGUGUGCAUCCGCCACGCUUGUUGUUCUCCCGUCGCGUGUGUGGCGUGUGACUCUCUGAAGGCAUAUGCGCUUGACGGCGGGGGUGUUGUGCGCUUUUGUGUGCGUGUGCGCUUCUUUG
rnacentral:misc_RNA from 1 species